rnacentral:rRNA from 1 species
UACGAAGGGGGCUAGCGUUGCUCGGAAUUACUGGGCGUAAAGCGCACGUAGGCGGUCUUUUAAGUCGGUGGUGAAAUCCUGGAGCUCAACUCCAGAACUGCCUUUGAUACUGAGGAUCUUGAGUACGGGAGAGGUGAGUGGAACUGCGAGUGUAGAGGUGAAAUUCGUAGAUAUUCGCAAGAACACCAGUGGCGAAGGCGGCUCACUGGCCCGUUACUGACGCUGAGGCACGAAAGCGUGGGGAGCAAACAGG